ensembl:snRNA U6 U6 spliceosomal RNA
GCGCUCACUCCGUCAGCACAUAUACUAAAAUUAGAAGGAUACAGAGAAGAUUACCAUGGUCCCUGUGCAAGGAUGACAUGAAACUGGAUGAUAAGGCCCCUCUACCA